GCUGACAGCCAACACGAGCACGGAGGAGAUCCUGUCAGCUGUACUUGUUGUUUGCCAACAUUUGAGUCCUUAUUUAUUUCACUGGCCGACGUCUCAGAGGCACAGACGUGUCAGUUAGCAGGCUUUGGGAAGGCAGACUUGGAGCAGCAGCAGACAGAAAGUAAUAAAAGGCCAGGCCCGCCGCACGCUUGGACACGGUUGAACCCCGGAGAGAUGCGAGCCACCACGCUGGAGGAUUUUCACAUCUUUUCAAGAAAAACUAAACCGGGAGAGCUGAGGAUGAACUGAUGUCAUGGAGACUUUCAGGCAUCAGACUGCAAGUCUUUGGCCUUUUCGUCUUCUCGCCGUUCUGCUGCUGCUGCUACUUAUCUUCACCCAUCUGCUGACCCGCCCUCCUCUCAGCCGGCGUUUCAGGAGAGAAAUCAAGGUUUCAUUUUAUA